AACGUAGGACGCAAGCGUUAUCCGGAGUUACUGGGCGUAAAGCGCGCGUAGGCGGGUUGGUAAGUCCGCUGUGAAAGCCCGGAGCUCAACUCCGGAGGGUCGGUGGAUACUGCCAGUCUUGAAGGUGCUAGGGGGGAGAUGGAAUUACCGGUGUAGCGGUGAAAUGCGUAGAUAUCGGUAGGAACACCAGUGGCGAAGGCGGUCUCCUGGGGCAUUCUUGACGCUGAGGCGCGAAAGCUGGGGGAGCAAACGGGG
rnacentral:rRNA from 1 species